GAAGUAAUAGGCCUUAUGCUUUGUUACACUAUAUUCCAACCAAUCAAAGUCCUUAUACCAUUGUGGCCGGAAGCAUCUUCCAUCUUUAUUUGGGGGGAAAGUGCAACUAGUUGGUCGAGUUGCACCCAUACGUAUAUAAGCAAAUCUAACAUCAUCUCUAAUGUUGGUGGCAAAUCUAUCAAGUGGAAUGCGAAGUCCAGGAUCACCAUUUAUGUAAUCUUCACUAAAAACAGAUAUACCUUCAACUCCAUGAACUUCAACAUUCUCUUCCACUAUAGCUUCAAGAGAGUCUGCAGUUUCUUCCACUUGUUCAGUUUGCAUUAAAUUCUCAUGCUCUACUUCCACCGAACUCGCUUGAUCUUGAUGAGUGGCAUGUGCCGGAACAUUGACACUUUCACGGGUACUUGGGUUUGAUUUCGAGCUGCUGCCACUACCAAGCACUUCAAAAUAUCUUUUCAAAUCUGCAAUUCACAACCAGAAUGUUCACAACAUUAAUAUGUCACUACAAUCUGCUUGAAUUUGAGACGUCAAGCUACUGUUAAAAUUUGCUACAAAAUUUCAGGAAAUUUGAAAAAUCACCUCCUCCCCUUUCAUUUGGGCUUCCUGUUCCCUUCCUCUUCCUUUCCAUCUCCGGGCAAUCUGGCCGGGAUUGUGCAGUCUGUGCUGGAGUAAGAAGUGGCCGGGACUGUGCUGGACUAAGAAGGAGUAUCCAGCUUCAGUGGACAAGAAAUUCAUAGCGUUUCGAAUGGCACUUGACUUUCUCGUACCUGAAUGACCCAGAGCCCCAGAGCGACACUGCCGCUUGCGCCCAGAGCGCCGCUGCCUCUUGCUGCCGCGGUGCCGCCCUCCUCUAGCCCCCUAGACAGCCGCCGCCGUUGCCUUCCCUGCCCGCCGUUGCCUGCCCCGCCCGCUCCUGGCGACCUGGCCAGCCGCCGCCGCCGCCGCGCUAGCUUAGGGUUAGGGUGUGCGUGGCCUCGUGGGUGGGGAUAGAAUAGAGCGGUCGCCUCUGGUCUGGUCGAUUGCGUUCUGCUCGUGGCCGCCGCUCGCUCGCUCGAUGCCUCGGGCCUCUGUGGCUCUGUUGCCUGUUGGCCCAUCAGGUCGCAGUCGCUCGCUGCGCGGCCCGUUAACAGCGACAGUAGCGUAUAUUUUGCUAGCGUCUACGUACACGAUCGAUGCAUACUAGUAUUGAAAAAAAAUUUGCUCAAAAUUAAGGUAUGGCAGGCGCCAUACCCUGCCCACCGGGGAGCUCCGCCAGUGGCAGAGUCCAUGUGUGCCGCCGGCUCACCACAGCCUAUAGUCGCCAAGUUGAUAGACAAUGAUGUCCAGGCCAUGAAAGAGACAACGUUCAGGACCAUGAAAGACACGCCAUUGGAAAAAAGUACCGUCCGCAAUAGUCUUCUUGACAUCCUCGACGUCAAUGCAGGGUUUUGGAUUUCGGACCGAAAAACCGAAAAGUGGCCGAAAUCCGCCCAUUUCGGUUGGGCCCGGUAAAUGUUCAAUCCGGUCAAAAAAAUUCGGCCUCGUUUGAAUUUCCAGCCCGGCCCAUGGUCCAGUACAACCCAUAGAUAGAACCUUGUGCUAUAAAAGCUCAAACCAAACCCUACCGUAGCCCUAAUUUCAUUUUCUCCACUCUCCACUCCUCUGUGCGGCGGCUGCAGACAACGAAGCCGAGUGAGGCGGGGGCGCGGCGCCGUCUCUGCCCAUCUCCCUCCUCCCCGUCGCCUCGAGAGAUCACCACUCCCUGUCCCUCCCCAUAGUCCGUUCUCCCCUUCUUCCAUCCGCGACCAUGGAUGAGGAAGGCUUUCUCGACAGCAGCCGUCCGGCCGGCGACCCAGUUGGCGGUGGCAGCCAUAGAAGAUCGAGGUCAGGGGGCGACUGGGUCGACAAUGAGGGAGCCAUGGGGCGUGGCCACGUCCGGCCGAAUAUGGGGCUGGACUUGGGCAGCGGCUUUGGAGCUGCCGAUGCACAAGCUGGGCAAGGUGAGCCUUUCAGCCUUACUGUGCGUGCAUGUUUAUUUAGCAUUUGCGUUAGCAUAUAGUUUGUAGAUAGAUUACGUAAUACAUGUGGUUGCUAGCUUUUGUAGCAGUUUUACUUUCCGGCCGGCCGUCCUAAUUUGAAUCAGUAGAUCUUCUUGCGUAGUUUAUGCUAGCUUAUGCUACGUAGAUGUUUAAUUCUAGCUUAUGUAAGCUAUAGCUUGUAAAAGUUCUUCUUGAUGAAAACUAACACUGGUAUUUUAUAGGAUCCUCUCGUAAGAGGGUAGGCAUCGAUGCUAGAAGGAGUGAUACUGUCAACUUAGACGAUGAAGGUGAUGGUCUGAUCAGGAAUGGUUCAGCAACAAGAGAGGCACCUUUUAAAGGUUGAUACCGUGUUACUCUUGCUUUUUGUAUUUCUCUUUGUUCCCUAUGUUUUACCCCUAUAAUUUGUGAAGCACCUAAAUGAUUUUAAUUCUACCUGUUCUGUAAUUUCUUACUAGCACUACUUGUACUUAUUCUAGUUUUGUUUAGUUUUUUAAUGCUGAUUUUACCUACGCAUAUUUUGUGGAAAUCUAAUUCCAUUUGCUUGCUUAGUUCUGUUUUUGCCAAUGCAUUUUUUACUUGUGCUUAAUUCUGUUCUGUCUAUUUUUGUUUAGUUGUUUAAUUCUGUUUUUGCCUAUGCAAUGUAUGCAUUGUUUUUGCCUAUUACAAGAGUGGUUUAUUCGUUUCAUUGUUAACAUGGUGCUUUCAUUUUGAAAUGCAGGACUUAAGACCAACGACAUACAUCAUGUGUGGAACCAUGGCCCCAAGCACGGAGGAGGAUUUCAUUGUCGGUAUUGCAACAUGAAGAAUUCUGGAGGAGGUGCAACCCGCUUCAAAGAGCAUCUUGGCAAGAUAGUAGGUGAAGUGAAGGAGUGCCCAAAUGUUCCAAGAAAUGUGCAUGAUAUAAUGAGGAAGGCCGUGCUUGAGUUGAGGAAAAAGAAGAGGGAGAAGGAAAGUCGUAAGCUUAGAUUUGAACGUGAGUUGAUGGAUGAGAUGUACCAGAGAAAUGGUGUGAUAAAUAUUGAUGAUGAUAAAGAUGAAGAAAUUCAUAUGGCACUACGGGAGUCACUAAGAGACAGGAAUGUUCUGUUUUUACUUUAUUUUGUCUUAUUCUGGUUUUACUUUAUAUCAUGAUGCAUUUAGAGUUCUUUGUAUUAUGCCUUACUCUUGCUUUACUUGAUAUCAUCAUACAUAUUGAGUUGAACUUUUUUUACUUAUGUUUUACAGGAAUGUAUCUCGUGCAGUUGAGAGGAGGCGUGGUAGUGGCAGUGGUGUUCGUGUUUCCCUUGGGAAACAGAGUAUCACAGCCUACUUUGACAAGCAAUUGUCGAGCAACAAAGUAUCAAUGCAACCCAAGAUCAGCACUGCUAUGGAUAGCAGCUCAAGGGAUGCUGUUGGCCAAGCUUGGGCGAAGUUUUUUCAUGCAAAUGACAUCGCUGGUCGAAAAGCUGACUGUCCAUAUUUUCAGGCUGCCAUGAAGAUCACUCAAAAUCUUGGUGCUGCUCCUAUUCCAACUGGAAAAGAGAUUGAUGGGAAGUAUUUAGACAAAAAUUAUGAAGAGUCUCGAGAGUGGCUGAAGCUAUUCAAGCAAGAUUGGAAGAACUAUGGUGUAACUGUUAUGUGUGACUCCUGGACUGGGCCUACUGGCAUGAGUCUUAUCAAUUUCAUGGUCUAUUGCAAUACACGGAUGUUCUUCCAUAAAUCCAUUGAUGCUUCUGGCCAGUCUCAAAAUUCAGGUUAGAUUUUUUGAGAAAGGGUUAUUUCUGGUUAAUUAUGACUAUUGCAAUUCUUUCUACUAUGAUGCUCUAUAUUUCUGUUCUGUUAUUAAUUCUAGCAUAUUUGUUCUGUUUUUAUUUGAUAUCAUGAUGCAUUUCAAGUUGAGGAAGCCAAACGUUUAUAAUAGAGUACUUUGUCUACGUUGCAGAAUUUCUCUAUAGAGAGAUUAAACAGGUUGUUGUUGAAGAGAUAGGCCACGAAAAUGUAGUUCAGAUUGUUACUGAUAAUGGCUCAAAUUACAAGAAAGCUUGUAAAACUCUUGUUGAACAACCAGAAUUCAGUCAUAUUGUUUGGCAGCCAUGUGCAGCCCACACGGUUAAUCUAAUGCUUAAAGACAUAGGUAAGUUUCCUGAGGUUGAUGUGAUAGUCAAAAGUGCCAAGCAAAUCUGUAGGUUUUUUUAUAAUCACAACAACCUACAUGAUAGCAUGAGGAAGAACGUUGGUGGUGAGCUGAUUAAACCGAAUGCCACCCGGUUUGGAACUGUGUUUAUGUUCCUUGAGAGUUAUUUGGAGAAGAAAGAUAAAUUUAGGAAAUAGAUGGUGUCCGACGACUGGAAGAACAGUAUUUGGAAGAAUGAUGCGGACCAUGUGUUUGCUGAAGAGUUGCUAUCCAGUAACAUGUGGUGGACAGCCUUAGAAUGGGUUCUUGAUUUGCUUGAGCCACUCUAUGUAGCCCUCAGAUAUGCUGAUACACAAAAGAAAUGUACUCUAUCUGGUUUCAAGAAGACUAUGAUGACAGCCAUACAAAAGAUGAGUUCUCAUCUUGGUGGUGGGUCACAGAUGUUAGAUAGAGUCAUGAGCAAGGUGUCCCCGAGGAUGGAAGAUAUGCAAAAUGAGACACUAAUGGUUGCAGGUAGAUACUAAGUUAAUGAAACUGAAAUUUUGUUGCUUUUUUCUUAUGGUUAUUAACUUCUCUUGAUCCUCCUUUUCUUAUACAGCUGUUGUCCUUGAUCCGUUCACACAUUAUCGGGUGAAUUUGAGCAACCUUCCAGAAUAUGCUUCUGCACUAACGGAUGUCAUCGAGAAGAUAGCAGACCCUGAGAGUGCUCUUUUGGCUAUCAAUGAAAUCAGCACUUAUAGGGAAUGUCGUGGGAGGUUUAGGCAUAGUUUGGCACGCUCUUCCGCAGAAAGAAUGGCACCAAGUAAACCACGAUACUUAUCUCCAUUGAUUAGCUCUAUUGCCUCAUGUUGCAACUUCAUUUCAGCAUCUCUAACUUUGUUUUAACCAUGCAGCUGAGUGGUGGUUCCAGUUUGGAGGGGAAGUUCCUAAUUUGCAGAAGUGGGCAUUGAGAAUUGUUUCACAGUGUGUCUCUUCAAGUGGCUAUGAGAGGAAUUGGACUGCUUUUGCCUUGGUCCACACGAAGCAAAGAAAUCGCCUUCUAUACUGCAAGCUUCACAAAAGUGUUUCUGUAUGCUACAACCUGAAGGUAUGUUUGCCAUGGUCUAUGCAUAAAGUCUCAACUUAGCUAUGCUACAAGUAUUUACUUUGCUAAAUCUUGGGUUCUGUUUUUAUACAUUGUAGUUACGUGCUGAAGAAGAUGAAGAUAUUGUGAAGCUGAGUUAUAGGGAGAAGGAAAUUGAUCCAUGUGCAGUGAUGAUGGAUACAGUUAUGCAUGAAGAAUCAAACCCAAUGAUGGAGUGGCUGAACGAGGAUGAAGAGCAUAUAGUCCUUGAUGGAUCUGAUGCUGCUACUGCUGUGUUGGAGGAAAUACGUCGCCUUAACUCAAGGAGGAAAGCCUCUCAUCUUGGAAGGAAGGAAAUUAGCAGGAAAGGAAAGAGGGUACGUGAAGAUGAGGAGGAUGAGUUCAUUAGCAGUGAGGAUGAUGAUGAAGCGAAUGGAUCCAUGGACAUUGAUGAUGGUGAUGAUGGCCAAGAAGAGGAUGAUGAAUCUGAUGGAGAAGGUUUGCCAAGACAAGCUGAAAAAGAUGCACGAAGCCAAGUGAAUGAUAUUGAGGUAACAAGGGAUGAAAAUAUGGUGAAUCGUAGAUCUGGACGGCAAGCCAAGAAGGUCAAGGACGUCAACUCCCUUUACUAUUAGGUAACAAGUUACUUUUUCUUAUAUGAGCUAGCUUCUGGUUGUAUAUUUUUCUUCAUACUGCACUCAUGUUUUUGCGUUAGUAAUAAAUAACAUGGUAGAAGCUUACUGCCUGGACAUACUUUGCAAUGCUAGCAUCCAUGCCGUUUAUAUAAUUUGUAAUGCUAGACAUUUUUGUUUCAUGUACACAUAACUGAUGUUUUGUAUUGCAAUAUUUAUGAAGCCUCUGACCAUAUUUGCAUUUUUGUUUCAUGCAAGACUGAAGACUGGAAGAAAAUUGAAGUCUACCUGAUGUGUUUUGGAGGCGCUGGUUUGAACUUCGAUUAGUUCUGCUCUAUGACUUGUGGAUUGUGAAUCUGGACUAUUGUGUGUGUAUUUUGGACUCGUAGUAGGGAUUGGUGUGUGGGUAUUUUGGACUGUAAUUUGAAGUUCUAAUAUGCACUGUUAUGUGUGUACCUUGGGCUAAUAUGGACUGUUAACUAGCCUAUUGAGUAGAUCUGGACUACUGGAUGUUAUAUCAUGCUCUGAACCGAUGUUUACCAUUGAGAUGGAGUUC
rnacentral:lncRNA from 1 species